rnacentral:sRNA from 1 species
AGUACGAAUAAGCGCGGUCAUAUCGAAUUGGCGUUGGUUCAUCGCGAUUUAGCGUCAAGAACGGCUUGUCUAUGGAGCAAAAACGCGUAUCGAUGUCGC